CCCAACUUCUCCAUUCACGUGCCAAAACUCAGGCCCCGCAGCUUCACCAAACCCGCCUUUCCUGAGCGAAAUAAACUUGGAUAAAAGGUUUAUGAGCCUCAACAUCUGUUCGCCGUACCCGAGUGCACGAGUGGUGUCACACGAGGAAAUAAAGUUGGAGUCAAACAUUCUGUUUUAAGAUCUAUCAUGAGUUUUAGCAUCCAUCAAGAUGUGAAAUGGCUGGCUGCAUUUAUGUACAACACAUUUUCCAGUGUGCAGAGGGAAAACUACCAGAACCUGCAGUAUGUGCACGUCUCCCAGGGAAGGACAAGAACACACUUCAGUAACAUCAGCUGUGCUUCAGGAACUGCUGAACAUGGAUUUUAGCUGGAAGUAAAUCCAAUUAACUCUUGAAUAGUUCUACCCAACCCCCUCAGCAUGACAGCUUUGAGCAGCUGCUGCCCUGCAGCUGCAACACCACCCUGCAGCCAAUUUCAGAAAAAAAAGAAA